rnacentral:rRNA from 1 species
AGAGUGAACGCUGGCGGUAGGCCUAACACAUGCAAGUCGAACGGCAGCACAGUAGGAGCUUGCUCUUACGGGUGGCGAGUGGCGGACGGGUGAGGAAUACAUCGGAAUCUACCUUUUGGUGGGGGAUAACGUAGGGAAACUUACGCUAAUACCGCAUACGCCCUUCGGGGGAAAGCCGGGGACCAGCAAUGGCCUGGCGCUGAUAGAUGAGCCGAUGUCGAUUAGCUAGUUGUGAGGUAAUGGCUCACCAAGGCGACGAUCCGUAGCUGGUCUGAGAGGAUGAUCAGCCACACUGGAACUGGAGACACGGUCCAGACCUCCGUACGGGAGGCAGCGAGUGGGAAUAGUGGAACAAGUGGCGCAAGCCUGAUCCAGCCAUACCGGCGUGGGUGAAGAACGGUCCUUACGGGUUGUAAAGUCCCUUUUUAGUUAGGGAAAAGAAAGUCUAAUUACGGUUUAACGACCGGUUGUUACGUCGAACGUAACC